rnacentral:rRNA from 1 species
UGGGGAAUUUUGGACAAUGGGCGCAAGCCUGAUCCAGCCAUGCCGCGUGCGGGAAGAAGGCCUUCGGGUUGUAAACCGCUGUCGGCCGGAACGAAAUCGCCCGGGUGAACAUCCCGGGUGGAUGACGGUACCGGAAGAAGAAGCACCGGCUAACUACGUGCCAGCAGCCGCGGUAAUACGUAGGGUGCGAGCGUUAAUCGGAAUUACUGGGCGUAAAGCGUGCGCAGGCGGUCUCGUAAGACAGGUGUGAAAUCCCCGGGCUCAACCUGGGAACUGCGCUUGUGACUGCGAGGCUGGAGUGUGGCAGAGGGAGGUGGAAUUCCACGUGUAGCAGUGAAAUGCGUAGAGAUGUGGAGGAACACCGAUGGCGAAGGCAGCCUCCUGGGCCAGCACUGACGCUCAUGCACGAAAGCGUGGGGAGCAAACAGGAUUAGAUACCCUGGUAGUCCACGCCCUAAACGAU